CAGCACCUCAAGUGGUCAGGAUGAUUAUUGGGCCUAAAGCAUCCGUAGCCGGCGCUGUAAGUUUUCGGUUAAAUCUGUACGCUCAACGUACAGGCUGCCGGGAAUACUGCAGCGCUAGGGAGUGGGAGAGGUAGACGGUACUCGGUAGGAAGGGGUAAAAUCCUUUGAUCUAUUGAUGACCACCUGUGGCGAAGGCGGUCUACCAGAACACGUCCGACGGUGAGGGAUGAAAGCUAGGGGAGCAAUCCGGAUUAGAUACCCGAGUAGUCC
rnacentral:rRNA from 1 species